UCCCUGGUAGCUUAGUGGUAAAGAAUCUGUUUGCAAUGCAGGAGACCCAGGUUCGAUCACUGGGUUGGGAA
rnacentral:tRNA from 1 species